UAACGCGUGAGUAACCUGCCUUCAAGAGGGGGAUAACAUUCUGAAAAGAAUGCUAAUACCGCAUGACAUAUCGGAACCACAUGGUUUUGAUAUCAAAGAUUUUAUCGCUUGAAGAUGGACUCGCGUCCGAUUAGUUAGUUGGUGAGGUAACGGCUCACCAAGACCGCGAUCGGUAGCCGGACUGAGAGGUUGAACGGCCACAUUGGGACUGAGACACGGCCCAGACUCCUACGGGAGGCAGCAGUGGGGGAUAUUGCGCAAUGGGGGCAACCCUGACGCAGCAACGCCGCGUGAAGGAUGAAGGUUUUCGGAUUGUAAACUUCUUUUAUUAAGGACGAAAAUUGACGGUACUUAAUGAAUAAGCUCCGGCUAACUACGUGCCAGCAGCCGCGGUAAUACGUAGGGAGCAAGCGUUGUCCGGAUUUACUGGGUGUAAAGGGUGCGUAGGCGGCUUUGCAAGUCAGAUGUGAAAUCUAUGGGCUCAACCCAUAAACUGCAUUUGAAACUGUAGAGCUUGAGUGAAGUAGAGGCAGGCGGAAUUCCCCGUGUAGCGGUGAAAUGCGUAGAGAUGGGGAGGAACACCAGUGGCGAAGGCGGCCUGCUGGGCUUUAACUGACGCUGAGGCACGAAAGCGUGGGUAGCAAACAGGAUUAGAUACCCUGGUAGUCCACGCUGUAAACGAUGAUUACUAGGUGU
rnacentral:rRNA from 1 species